AACGAACGUUGGCGGCGUGGAUUAGGCAUGCAAGUCGAACGCGAAAGGGUAGCAAUACCCGAGUAAAGUGGCGAACGGGUGAGUAACGCGUAGGAAACCUGCCUUCGAGAUGGGGAUAACACUCCUAACGGGGUGCUAAUACCGAAUGACACUGCGAAGUCGCAUGGCUUUGCAGUCAAAGGUGGCCUCUGCUCGCAAGCUACCACUCGAAGAUGGUCCUGCGUCCCAUUAGCUAGUUGGCGAGGUAACGGCUCACCAAGGCGACGAUGGGUAGCCGAUCUGAGAGGAUGACCGGCCACACUGGGACUGAGAUACGGCCCAGACUCCUACGGGAGGCAGCAGUCGAGAGGCUUCGGCAAUGGGGGAAACCCUGACCGAGCGACGCCGCGUGGAGGAUGAAGGCCUUUGGGUUGUAAACUCCUGUCAUGUGGGAAGAAACGCCACCGCGCGAAUAGUACGGUGGUCUGACGGUACCACAAGAGGAAGCUCCGGCUAACUCCGUGCC
rnacentral:rRNA from 1 species